AGUGAACGCUGGCGGUAGGCCUAACACAUGCAAGUCGAACGGCAGCACAGUAAGAGCUUGCUCUUACGGGUGGCGAGUGGCGGACGGGUGAGGAAUACAUCGGAAUCUACUUUUUCGUGGGGGAUAACGUAGGGAAACUUACGCUAAUACCGCAUACGACCUACGGGUGAAAGCAGGGGAUCUUCGGACCUUGCGCGAUUGAAUGAGCCGAGGUCGGAUUAGCUAGUUGGCGGGGUAAAGGCCCACCAAGGCGACGAUCCGUAGCUGGUCUGAGCGGAUGAAGACGGACACUGGGGGUGAGAGACGGUACAGAGACUGAGAGGAGGCACAGGUGGGGAAGAUUGGAAACAGUGGGCAAGAUUGAGCAAGAGGCAGAGCGCGGGUGAAGAAAGGCCUCGUGUGGUAUAACGCCCUUUUGGUGGAAGAAAAAAUGCAGAAGUAAAUACCCCUGUGUUGACGGUACCCACAGAAGAAGCACCGGCUAACUCCGUG
rnacentral:rRNA from 1 species